UAAGGAAUAUUGGUCAAUGGACGCAAGUCUGAACCAGCCAUGCCGCGUGGAGGAUUAAGGCCCUCUGGGUUGUAAACUCCUUUUAUCUGGGAAGAAAUGUACUUUUUCUUGAGUACUUGACGGUACCAGAGGAAUAAGCAUCGGCUAACUUCGUGCCAGCAGCCGCGGUAAUACGAAGGAUGCAAGCGUUAUCCGGAAUUAUUGGGUUUAAAGGGUGCGUAGGCGGACUAAUAAGUCAGUGGUGAAAGCCUGCAGCUUAACUGCAGAAUUGCCAUUGAUACUGUUAGUCUUGAGUACAGUUGAGGUAGGCGGAAUGUGUCAUGUAGCGGUGAAAUGCUUAGAUAUGACACAGAACACCGAUUGCGAAGGCAGCUUGCUAAGCUGUAACUGACGCUGAGGCACGAAAGCGUGGGGAGCAAACA
rnacentral:rRNA from 1 species